GUAAAUGCCGAAUGUACGGCAGGUGUAACCUGUAUAUAGGUUAGUCCUGUGUCUUC
rnacentral:tRNA from 1 species